rnacentral:rRNA from 1 species
CCGACGGUGAGGGAUGAAAGCUGGGGGCACGAACCGGAUUAGAUACCCGGGUAGUCCCAGCCGUAAACGAUGCUCGCUAGGUGUCAGGCAUGGCGCGACCGUGUCUGGUGCCGCAGGGAAGCCGUGAAGCGAGCCACCUGGGAAGUACGGCCGCAAGGCUGAAACUUAAAGGAAUUGGCGGGGGAGCACAACAACGGGUGGAGCCUGCGGUUUAAUUGGACUCAACGCCGGACAACUCACCGGGGGCGACAGCAAUAUGUAGGCCAAGCUGAAGACUUUGCCUGAAUCGCUGAGAGGAGGUGCAUGGCCGUCGCCAGUUCGUACUGUGAAGCAUCCUGUUAAGUCAGGCAACGAGCGAGACCCGUGCCCACUGUUACC